rnacentral:pre_miRNA from 1 species
AAUGUUUGACGCCGUUGACUUUUUUAAACAUGUUUGACCGUUCGUCUUAUUCAAAAAAUUUAAGUAAUCAUUAAUUCUUUUUCUAUCAUUCGAUUAAUUGUUAAAUAUACUUUUAUGUAUAAUAUAGUUUUACAUAUUUCACAAAAUUUUUUGAAUAAGACGAAUGGUCAAACAUGUUUUAAAAAGUCAAUGGCGCCAAAUAUU